AUCCUAGCUUGCUAGGAGGCGUCGAGCGGCGGACGGGUGAGUAAUGCAUAGGAAUCUACCCAGUCGUGGGGGAUAACCUGAGGAAACUCAGGCUAAUACCGCAUACGUCCUACGGGAGAAAGCGGGGGCUCUUCGGACCUCGCGCGAUUGGAUGAGCCUAUGUCGGAUUAGCUUGUUGGUAAGGUAACGGCUUACCAAGGCGACGAUCCGUAGCUGGUCUGAGAGGAUGAUCAGCCACACCGGGACUGAGACACGGCCCGGACUCCUACGGGAGGCAGCAGUGGGGAAUAUUGGACAAUGGGCGAAAGCCUGAUCCAGCCAUGCCGCGUGUGUGAAGAAGGCUUUCGGGUUGUAAAGCACUUUCAGCGAGGAAGAAAGCGUGCCGGCCAAUACCCGGUACGGACGACAUCACUCGCAGAAGAAGCACCGGCUAACUCCGUGCCAGCAGCCGCGGUAAUACGGAGGGUGCAAGCGUUAAUCGGAAUUACUGGGCGUAAAGCGCGCGUAGGCGGCGUGUCACGCCGGGUGUGAAAGCCCCGGGCUCAACCUGGGAACGGCAUCCGGAACGGGCAGGCUAGAGUGCAGGAGAGGAAGGUAGAAUUCCCGGUGUAGCGGUGAAAUGCGUAGAGAUCGGGAGGAAUACCAGUGGCGAAGGCGGCCUUCUGGACUGACACUGACGCUGAGGUGCGAAAGCGUGGGUAGCAAACAGGAUUAGAUACCCUGGUAGUCCACGCCGUAAACGAUGUCGACUAGCCGUUG
rnacentral:rRNA from 1 species